rnacentral:rRNA from 1 species
UACGAAGGGUGCAAGCGUUACUCGGAAUUCCUGGGCGUAAAGCGUGCGUAGGUGGUGAGUUAAGUCUGAUGUGAAAUCCCCGGGCUCAACCUGGGAAUGGCAUUGGAUACUGGCUCGCUAGAGUGCGGUAGAGGGUGGUGGAAUUCCCGGUGUAGCAGUGAAAUGCGUAGAGAUCGGGAGGAACAUCUGUGGCGAAGGCGGCCACCUGGACCAACACUGACACUGAGGCACGAAAGCGUGGGGAGCAAACAGG